rnacentral:tRNA from 1 species
CAUUAGAUAGCUGAAAGUCAGCCAUGGUCUCUUAAACCCUCCUAUAAUAGAUUAACGCCUAUUUCUAAUG